rnacentral:rRNA from 1 species
GCUGGAAUCGCUAGUAAUCGCAGAUCAGAAUGCUGCGGUGAAUACGUUCCCGGGUCUUGUACACACCGCCCGUCACACCAUGGGAGUCGGAAAUGCCCGAAGCCAGUGACCCAACCUUAAGGAGGGAGCUGUCGAAGGUGGAGCCGGUAACUGGGGUGAAGUCGUAACAAGGUAAC